rnacentral:lncRNA from 10 species
UCCCAUUUAAAUUAUGAGGAAAAUCCUUUAGAACAUUUUAUGUUAAAGGCCUAGGAGAACCAAAUUUUUUCUUUCUUUUUUUUCUGAGACUUUGUCUAAAAAAAAAAAGAGGAAGUGGCGGAGAAAAAACUGAAAGCUCUUCACCACUCUCCAUCUCCCAGAAAUAAUUUCCCAGAUUAUUUUCUAUGCAUUUUCAUAUACUUCUUUUAUAUAAGUGGUUCUUCCACUUACUAUGUGACUGAGAAUAUUGUUUCCUUUUCUGUAAAAUGUAAAUAAAACCGACCUUAUGGGAUUGUUUUAAAAACUAAAUAAAAUAAUUCAUGUAAAGCGUUUAGCACGGUACACUCUGAAGACAUGAUUUUCCCAACCUUUAGGGCACUGACUUUAGUGUAUACAGUUACGGAAGGCUUUGUUAAUUUGGAAGGGAAAAAUUACGUUACUAUUUGGCAGAUAAAAUCUCUCACAUCAUGGGAAUCCAUGGAAGGAGCAAAGGACACAUAUACAACAAAAGAGGGUCAUGCCUAAAGAAAGACUUGGAACCAGUGGCCAAGAGGACAGAGAGCAGAAUCUGCCUCAGUUUCUUGGAGAGGAGGAAAUAUUAACACUCUGGGGACUAAGUCCCCAGGAAAUAAGAUGAACGAAGUUCUCCUUUCUCCUACCUCCAGGUAAUAUUAAGUGCUAACAUGACAGGGGAUUCUUUUCCAAUUGAAUAGACUUCCUUGGCAAAGGAAAGGCCACAGAUGAUUGGGAAUAGGUAGGUAGACUGACAACAGGAUAGUGGACAAGCUCCCAGGGUAAGAUCAUGGGGAUGGAUUGCAUGCUCUGUUCUCCAGCUUAUUUGGCCCUUUCUACCUUGCCCUCCCAGUGCCAUCAUAGCCAUCUUCUGUUACUGGAUUGGGAUACCAUCAGGUUAGCUCUUCUUAAUAACUGCUUAGGAGCAUAAUUUAACACUUCUCAUUUUAUAGUGAUGCAGUAUGUUUCUAACUUUUACCAUUUUAAUUAUGCUUUGGUAUAAAUUAUUUGUACAUUUAUCUUUGCAUAUAUGUGAAAUGUUCUGUAAGACAAAUUUUCUGUCAAAGGGUAUGUGAUUUUUUUGUUUUGUGGUUUUUUGGUUUUUGGUUUUUUUUUGAGACAGAAUCUUACUCUGUUGCCCAGGCUGGAGUGCAGUGGCACGAUCUCAGCUCACUGCAACCUCCACUUCCCAGGUUCAAGCAAUUCUCUGCCUCAGCCUCCCAAGUAGCUGGGAUUACAGGCGCCCACCCCCACGCCUGGCUAAUUUUUGUAUUUUUAGUAGAGACAGGGUUGCACCAUCUUGGCCAGGCUGUUCUUGAACUCCUGACCUUGUGAUCCAUCCACCUCAGCCUCCCAAAGUGCUGGGAUUACAGGCGUGAGCCACCAUGCCCGCAUGGGCAUGUGCUUUUAAAACUGGUACUUAUGUUAAAUUGUCUUCUCAGAACUGUUUUUAUUUUUUAAUUGAAAUGGGAUCUCGCCAUAUUCCCCAGUCUUGUCUGGAACUCCUGGGUUCAAGCAAUCCUCCGGCCUCAGCCUCCCAAAGUGCUGGAAUUACAAGCAUGAGCCACCAUACCCGGCCCAGAAUUUUAAAACUACUGCAGUACUUUGAACAAGCAUGGGCUAAUUCAUUUUGUAACCUAACUGUAGCUCUCAACUUUAUGACUUUUCUAUUAGAGAGAGACCUAACAUAUAAUGGGGUUUUACUUCAUUAAAUUGAGAAAACAAAUGAGAGUAGAUAAUAUUUAGAUUUAAGUAAUAGUCUAACAUCCUCUCUAUAUCCCUGGUUCCAGCUCUUAGGCUGAUGAAAUGUAAUCUUUUCUAUUAUUAAUUAAUUAGCAUUCUUUUUCUUUAAAAAAAGUCAACGAUCUAUAUAGUUGUUCAGCCAUCUGUAAAUGUUAUUUUAACAGGCUAUAUUUACUUGAGAAUUUUGCUUUAGUUUAUUGUUGACAGACAUUAUCUGACUACUUAAACAUUCUCAGAUUAGGAUUCUAUUUGUACAACUUUGGAGUGUCAGCAUGCUAUGCUGAGUUGCCAUGGCAACUAUAGAUAUUAUGUACUGUAGUCUAAAUACUUAUUCUACAUAAGUCCCUGUCAAAACAUGGGAAAACAUUUCUAUUUAAAAAGGUCACAUAUCAUGUCAAAUGACGGAUGUAAGAGUGACAUUUUAAACAGCCCUAAUUCCCUUUAGCUAUCAAAUUUCUAAUGGAGCUCACGCAAUAGCUAUAGCUUCUAUAACUUACUCUUCCUCUUCUCAAUGUUUCCUCCCUUAUUAUCAUAAAAGGUCUCCUAAGCAUCCUCCUCCACCCCUCCCCCUCAGCUCUUUCUUCCUAAUGAUUAUGAGGAUCUGGGUGCAGAGGCAUUCACCUGUAAUCCCAGCUAUGUGGGAGGCUGAGGUUGGAGGAUUGCUUGCGCUCAGGAGUUCAAGAACAGCCGGUGCAACAUAGUGAGACCCAAUCUC